rnacentral:rRNA from 1 species
CCGAUGGACAACAGGUGGAGAUUCCUGUACUGCGGUAUGACAGAACUGUGGGGACACGUAAGGAAAGCGGAAGCCGGGAAUGGAAAGCCCGGUGCAAGCGGGGUACCAGCCACUCAGGCAAAUCCGGGUGGCAAUGGGAAGCCGUGAUGCGGAUCGAAAUACAAGUAGAGAAGUCCGUGAGCCAUGCGUCAAGAAAAGCCGCUAUUGUUUAUACCGUACCCGUACCGUAAACCGACACAGGUGGAUGAGGAGAGAAUCCUAAGGCCGGCGGAAGAAGCAUUGUCAAGGAACUCGGCAAAAUGACCCCGUAACUUCGGGAGAAGGGGUGCCACUGAGAAGUGGCCGCAGAGAAUAGGCUCAAGCAACUGUUUAGCAAAAACACAGGUCUAUGCGAAACCGAAAGGUGAGGUAUAUGGGCUGACGCCUGCCCGGUGCUGGAAGGUUAAGAGGAGAGGUUAGCGGUAACGCGAAGCUUUGAAUUUAAGCCCCAGUAAACGGCGGCCGUAACAAUAACGGUCCUAAGGUAGCGAAAUUCCUUGUCGGGUAAGUUCCGACCCGCACGAAAGGCGUAAUGAUUUGAGCGCUGUCUCGACAAUGCAUCCGGUGAAAUUGAAGUACCAGUGAAGAUGCUGGUUACCUGCGCCAGGACGGAAAGACCCCAUGGAGCUUUACUCCAGUUUGGUACUGGGGUUCGGUAUUGCAUGUACAGGAUAGGUGGGAGGCUGAGAAAUGGCAACGCCAGUUGCCAUGGAGCCGCUGUUGGGAUACCACCCUUGCAGUACUGGACUUCUAACCAGCCGCCGUGAACCGGCGGUGGGACAAUGCCAGACGGGGAGUUUGACUGGGGCGGUCGCCUCCGAAAGGGUAUCGGAGGCGCCCAAAGGUUCCCUCAGAAUGGACGGAAACCAUUCGAAGAGUGCAAAGGCAGAAGGGAGCUUGACUGCGACACCGACGGGUGGAGCAGGUACGAAAGUAGGGCUUAGUGAUCCGGUGGUAUUAAGUGGGAAUGCCAUCGCUCCACGGAUAAAAGCUACCCUGGGAUAACAGGCUUAUCACUCCCAAGAGUUCACAUCGACGGAGUGGUUUGGCACCUCGAUGUCGGCUCAUCGCAUCCUGGGGCUGUAGUAGGUCCCAAGGGUUGGGCUGUUCGCCCAUUAAAGCGGUACGCGAGCUGGGUUCAGAACGUCGUGAGACAGUUCGGUCCCUAUCCGGCGUGGGCGUAGGAUAUCUGAGAGGAGCUGUCCUUAGUACGAGAGGACCGGGAUGGACGGACCGCUGGUGUACCGGUUAGACUGCCAAGUCUACGGCCGGGUAGCCAAGUCCGGAAGGGAUAAACGCUGAAGGCAUCUAAGCGUGAAGCCCCCCUCAAGAUGAGAUGUCCCAUUCGAAAGAAGUAAACCCCCUUGAAGACGACGAGGUAGAUAGGGCAGGGGUGGAAGUGUGGUAACACAUGGAGCUGACUGUUACUAAUAGGGUGAGGGCUUGACCG